UACGGAGGAUGCGAGCGUUAUCCGGAUUUAUUGGGUUUAAAGGGUGCGUAGGCGGACUGUCAAGUCAGCGGUAAAAUUGAGAGGCUCAACCUCUUCCCGCCGUUGAAACUGGUGGUCUUGAGUGGAUGAGAAGUACGCGGAAUGCGUGGUGUAGCGGUGAAAUGCAUAGAUAUCACGCAGAACCCCGAUUGCGAAGGCAGCAUACCGGCGCCCUACUGACGCUGAAGCACGAAAGCGUGGGUAUCGAACAGG
rnacentral:rRNA from 1 species